AGCUCGAAGGCUGACUACAAUCACUUUGCAGGACUGACAAUCCCACUGGACACGUGAGCUGCGCUCCAAUAUCCUUUUCCAUUAUUUCUGUAGAUCUCAGAUUAUUUUUAAGGUUCUUCAAUUCAACUUUGAGGCCUGCGCGCUUCAAUUUAAUCUUCUUUCGCGUGGAGGUGGUAUUUUGGGAGAGUUUUGUUGGGAAAACGGAGCGGAAUUGUCGCACAGAGGUUGGCAACAGGUGCGAGGGAAUUAUUCAAUGAACAGCGCCAUCGUACUCCCUUUUUGUUUAUUUGUUCUCACGUCAUGGUCGGAGAGGUGUACACAAAAUAUACGUGCCGAGUGACAAGUGUUUUUUUUUCGGAGCGAUUGGUGGAUUUUUAUUGUCUUAGGGAUAUGUUUUGUUAUCAGGGAUUUUUCGGGUAAACACGGGAGGAAUUGAGGUCGCCGCGAUGUGCGGGGGGGGAUUGGAGUCGAGAGGACUCUCCGGAAUUUUUUUGAAUGCUUUCGUUAGUGCAGCAGAUUUUUUUAUCUGUUUUUGUGGGUUCAGAUUUUUCGGCUUCGAUUGGUUCGGGGGUUUUUAAAGGACUUUGGAGCAGAUGGAACGACAGUUUGUGGGGGACAAGUGAGAGUGGGGAAUUAUUGGAGCGAUUUUUUUUUUAAUUUUUUUUUUGGAAAUAAUUUUUGGAGGAAUUUUGCACGAGUUGAGGGGCUUUUCGACGGUUUUUCGAGGUGAAAACAACGAGUGGUGGACAUAACCUAGACGGAGUGCGAGACGUGACGAGUAGUUAGUUCACCUGCUCCGAAGUGCAUUAGUGAAAAAUUAACAAUUGUUUUGAUAAACUGACAUUGUGGGGGCACGUAUGACUCCGGAAAAAGUUGUUUCCUUUUUCUAAGACAGGGGAUGAGUGAAGUUUUUCAGUGUUUACGUGGAGUUUUUCGGUGUUUAUCCUUGUCACUGCCGGAAAUUUAUGGGUUUUGAACUCAAAUUUAUGGAGAAUUCCAGCGCGAGGAGAACCAGUGGAUAUAAACAAUAUUGAGGAAAAGACGAUGGGAAAAGGUGAGGAAGGGAGCACAACUGAAGGAGGGGAAUCCAGUACUUUUCUAGCUACUACCUCGACGGAGGCGAGUAAAAUGCUGGAAGCCGCACUACUACAAAUGGACGGCAUUAUUUCCGGUAAAAAAUGGGCCUGUGCGGAGGGCACCGAGGCACCUCCAGACUGGAAGGAUUCAGUCAGAGAGGCAGCGAGAAAUCUCGUGGCGGCCAUCCAAAACUCCCCUGCCCCUCCUCCACCUCCGGAUGCUCACACCACGGAUGUUCUAUUGCAGUGGAUGCAACCGGAAAGGUUGAGAAAACUUGAGAACGAAAGAGCAGGCCUACACAUGGAGGUAUCAGUAUUAUCUGAACAAGUAGACGCACAAUCUAGUAAAAUUUUAGAACUCGAGAAUAUUCUUCAAGAGAAGAAGGAUGCUAUGAGGCAGAUGGAGGAUGUUCUGCAAAAGGAGGUAUUAUCUCGAAGUGCUUUAGAAACCCAAAAGCUCGAGCUUUUAACAUCACUAUCAGAGAUGAAGCUACGACAGGCCAGCUUGGAGCACGAAAAUGUGGCGCUUCGGACCGCAACAUCAAUCACAAACGGUGAGAAGUUCAGCAGACACGCAGGACAAUAUAGCAGCCUGCCAAGGCCCCCGACAUCGGUGAAGAAAGGCGUUGCUUUUGGUAAGGUUUCUCAUCAAAUAUCUGGUGCUCAAACUACGGUACCGCUUGCAGUCAGAGGAAACUCGGCCAGAUGUUUAUCUGCCCCAGCUCUAGCUGAAGAAGAGAGAAUCGUGAUUUCUGAAGCAUUAGCUCGUGCCGAAGUGCCUCCUCCAAAGCCUUUGAACGACCUGUCGAUGGAGGAAGUGGAGGAGUGGUUGACGAGACUGGGUCUAGAGGCUUAUGCACCUGAACUAAGGCGAUGGGGGGCUACGGGCGCUAAACUACUCGAUGUUACAGCACAUCAAAUUGAAAAGGAGCUCGAUAUCAAGAACAGUCUUCACAGGAAGAAAUUACUGUAUGCUAUAGAGUGCGAGAGGUGCAAUGGAGUUGGAUUUCUUGGAUCUGAAAAGAUGGAUAAUGCAGCAGUUCUCCGUUGGCUCGACGACGUUGGUCUACCCCAGCACAAAGAAGCUUUCCACAAUGCCAAAGUAGACGGUCGUGUUCUCCACAGGCUGACCACUGAAGACCUACUGACCCUCGGUGUAGCAGCGCAACUUCACGCAGCAAGUUUGCGUCGUGGAAUCCAAGUGCUUCGAGAACUGAAUUUCGAGUUUGAUAAUUUAGAGAGGAGAUCAGUGAACGGUAAUGGAGCUGACGGCAGUAAUGUCGCGUUGUGGACGAAUCACAGAGUGAUGGAGUGGUUGAGAGUCGUGGAUCUUGCUGAGUAUGCGCCUAAUAUGAGGGGAUCUGGGGUCCACGGGGGACUGAUCAUUCAUGAGGGCAGAUUUACCUCUGAACUGUUAGCCACUCUCCUCAGUAUUCCACCUGCCAAGACCCUAUUGCGGAGACAUUUGACCACUCAUUUUAAUCAGAUUCUUGGGAGGGAAGUUGUACAGCAUAAGAGGGAGAUGGAGACCACUCUUGGAUUUGUGCCAUUGACACUUACAGCUCGAUUAAAGGUACCAAAGAAAUCUCAAUUCACCCUAAAACGAAAGAAGAGCAAGAGUGAUAUUGAUUAUGGGAAUUUGGUGUGUCCCUUGGAAUCAUCACCACCAGGUACACCAUCGACACCCUCAUCAACUCCAGGCAGCCCUAAUCUCAACUCACCCACAAUCUAACAAUAACUAUUCACGCCAUUUAUCAGCUAGAUGAAUUUCAUCUCAAACGAACUAACUCCAUUUGGAAAUAGUGGAGCACAGAAAAAUCAUUGGCUGCAUAUGAGAGUUAUCUGAAUACAAUGAAGUCGAAAUAAUGAAAUUACAGGAAUUUAAUCAUAUUCGAUGCACAAUAGGAGAUCGUAGACUUUUUAGACUUAUGGGACCAUAUUAUUGGCAGAAUGAAAUCGCAUAGUCAACUAGUGUUUCUUUUAUCAAUGAAACUUUUUACAGAAUUAUAAACUGAAUAUAUAAAAGUUCAUGGGAUAUGAUCAUCAGUUACCAAUAUACAAUAUUCAUUUUGUGCGUGACAAUAUUCAGUAAUUCAGAGGCCAAUAAGAUUUGUUACAUAAUUCAUUGCGUAAAAUUUUUGACGGAUGUCAAAUAAUUUCAAUCUAAGAGUGUGUAUUUUUAAUAUCCAUAUACACAUAAAUUCAUUGUACAUGUUUAUUGCAAUCGUGAGUGCCUACAAGAGUGUAUUUUACUUUAUUACAUUCGACUAUACUCAUUAUUUUAUUUUGUUUGCGUUGAUUUGUAGACGAAGGCAUGAGAUGAUUACUUUUUUUUUCAACUCUUUGGAAGAUCGAAGAGAAUUUAGUUUUUUAGGUCCGUUUUUAUCCCAUUGAGAGAUGUAAAAAUUCAUUACUUUCAUUUAUUUUUCAUUUAUAUAUAUUUUGCGGAAGGAACUCUUGAGUCAUUGUCAAUCAAAUGUAUUACUCGCUUUCAAAAUAUAUCGUUGGAAAUUGUAAACAC